rnacentral:rRNA from 1 species
CACUCCUGCGGGAGGCAGCAGUGGGGAAUAUUGCACAAUGGGCGCAAGCCUGAUGCAGCCAUGCCGCGUGUAUGAAGAAGGCCUUCGGGUUGUAAAGUACUUUCAGCGGGGAGGAAGGCGAUAAGGUUAAUAACCUUGUCGAUUGACGUUACCCGCAGAAGAAGCACCGGCUAACUCCGUGCCAGCAGCCGCGGUAAUACGGAGGGUGCAAGCGUUAAUCGGAAUUACUGGGCGUAAAGCGCACGCAGGCGGUCUGUCAAGUCGGAUGUGAAAUCCCCGGGCUCAACCUGGGAACUGCAUUCGAAACUGGCAGGCUAGAGUCUUGUAGAGGGGGGUAGAAUUCCAGGUGUAGCGGUGAAAUGCGUAGAGAUCUGGAGGAAUACCGGUGGCGAAGGCGGCCCCCUGGACAAAGACUGACGCUCAGGUGCGAAAGCGUGGGGAGCAAACAGGAUUAGAAACCCCUGUAGUCCCA